CUUCAGUGGUUUCAGUGCACAGGAGGAGGAAGAUAGUGACCAAUGACUUUCUUGUUGAACUUGUUGACUGAUGCCAAGGCGGUGGUUGCGACGAAGGGAGCAGCUGCAGACCAGAAGACUGCAGCCAAGGCAUCACUGGUCCACACCUGCCCUGUCCUAUCUAUUUACAUUCAAGCAGCACUUUGAGAGCAUGUAUCUGUAAGUCUUCAAUGGUCCCAGUACUGGUUGAUGUGCAGGCCUAAGUGACCACACAAAUGGAACUCCAGCUAGGGUAAGAUUCUUUCAUCAUUCACACACAGUAAACAUAGUCCAUGCUUUUGUCACUUAUAGGUUAGACUACUGCAAUGCUCUACUUUCCGGUUACCUGGAUAAAGCACUAAAUAAACUUCAGUUAGUGCUAAACACGGCUGCUAGAAUCUU